AGCUGUCUGUUAUCUGCCAGAGAUGCGUGUCGUAGGUCCCAGUUGACGAGGAGGGCCGACCUUCGGGAGCAAAAGGUGUUAUACGCGGAGGGCAUGUCAAUACAUGUCCUGAAGGACAUUAGUUAAGCGAAUGUAGAUAUCAUCUUAAGUGUGUGUUUAAGGUGACGAGAUCAACACCACUUUCCCACCCAGUCACCCCAUGCAUAGGGAUUCAGCAAAUGUGUGUGAGCUGCAUGUGUGAUUCUGCAAAUGCUCAAAGCAAGUCAAUUAUAGUGUUUUAUUCUAAUGUUUGCAAGCCUCAAUGAAAUACAUUAUGCGCUACAGUGAAGCGCUCAUCCAUAUUGUAAGUUCUGCUUUUGAUGUUAAAAGGGUAUUUCUGUGUUUUUCAUCUUGGUCUCUUUCUGCGACGGUAUCUAUCAGACGAAUAACACUGACUGCAACUUCAAUGUGGCCCUGCACUAAGAGAAGCACAGAAACCGCAGCUUUAAAAUACUGACAACUAAUUUCAAUUAGUAUGUCAGCUCUGCAGUACCCGACAGUUCAUAUGAGGUACAAACGGAAAAACAUGAAAGACGUGCUGUGCCACAUAAGUUUUAAGAAAUAAAAAUACUUCAAUGCAAAGCAUCGAGGCUGCGUUUUAAAAAGGUGGGGGGACUCCCCCAGAGGGAAGAUCUGGUCAUUAUUAUACAUUUCCACCCAAACAGCAUGGGUUUGUUUUAGGACAACAGCAGUGCAUUGUAUAUGGAUUCCUAAGAAACUCCUCAGGGAAAUCUAAAAGAAAUGAAUUUACUUUCUGCAGUGUCGAUUGGUACGGGUUCACAUUUAUAUAAUUUGCUAUGGUAAGAGAAACCUUUAUGUUCUUGUUUUCGAUGGUAAGAUGAUCCCUCGUACUUGCAUCAGCAUAAUACUGCUAUUAUUAAACAGUUUGCCGUUUUGAAACAGGAGUGCAUAUUUAAAUCGUUGAAACACCUAUUCACAUUACUGCCCGCACAAAAGACAACCUCCAUAAUAGGAGUGAAAAAAAGAAGAACAAAAAGAAGGGGAAAAAAGGAAAAGAACAGAAAAAAGAAAAUGAAGUACAUGUUUUCUACUCUGUUCCCAUUAGAGGGACAAAAGGCCAUUCACAGGUCCGUGCGAAUAUGCGACUACUUAACUCACGUCGAGUUUCUGUUGUAAGAUUCAGUGCUAUCCCUUUAAUUAUGCCAUGAGGCGUGUUUCACAUAAAGACAUGUAGAAUUUCACACACUCCAUGUCACUGCUGCGGGCAACAUGACUACUAUAAUAAUUCAGCCACUUCUUCGCUCGGUGGAAACAUUGUUCCACUACCCACGGUCCCUCCACUAGACUAUACCUCCAGUGAGAGUACUGCGGCAGAUCCAGAGAGUGCUUUGACAUGUUCGCCAUAAAUAGGAAACAUCCAUCAAAAGAUGCUCAGUUGGUUUUCUCCCCAGCGAGCGAUAGCACAGUAAUAAAGGAUGGGGAGCUGCUCUGGUCCACUGUCAACACGGUAAAAGGAAGUCCGUCAGUUUGUGUCUCAAGGUCUCCCGUCGUUAAUGCCUCAGUAGACUCCCAGUUCUUUGGUGACUGCCAUAAAAGCGAGUUGACAUCGCCCCAAAGACACCUACCCCGGAUGGGACACCCUCUGCUGGUUUGCAAUGUAGUGCUGAAGCCAUGCAUUGACAGCAUGUGGGUUGUUUUGAAACCUUUUGAACCACGGUUUUUUGUAUGGUACACAACCAUGAUUAUGAUAUUCUGUCCUCAUCACACUACUUUUGACCGAUUACAAUGCUCAUGCACCAAUGGGUCCAAGGUCCAAUGAGGUCUGAUAGAAUACAGGAAGUUAUUUUUGAUUCUGGACCAAUGUCAUUUGAGCAUUGAGCACUCGUUUCUUUUUCUUUUCUUUCAUGUCUUCUCUUAACCAGUGUCUUUGCUCAUUUAUUUAUGGACUUGCUUAUGCUAGGCGUAUCAAGUGAGAUGCUGCCCUCCAAAGCACCCAUUUAGCCCGCAGCCAUGGCGCCGCGCCAGAGCUCAAUGCCACGCCGCCCGGCCCACACGAGGCCUUCCCUGAUGUGACGACCGCAGCCCUCACGGCCAGCUGCUCUACACUCCUGCUCUCUCCGCAGCAUGUCAAAUACAACUAUUUUCAAUUUACCCCAGCCACUAUUAUGGCAUGUAUCGCACGCACACGUGCAUGCAACUUUUUCCAUCUAAAAAAAAAAAAAAAACCUGCCUGGCUGCCUUGAGAUUGCUACUUGGGUUGUGGUUCAUGAACAAAAUAACUUGAUAACUUUUCAUCUGAUGGAGGCAGUGUAAAGCCCUCCUACAGCUCAGCUGAUGGAGAAUUCCGCAGACAACAGCUGUUACACAUUUAGUUCCACGGGAGCACACUCACGGCUAGGCUACUCUCUUUCAGUGUACUUUCAUGUCACUUCAGAUAAAGCAUUAGCUUAUGUUAUGUAUUAGAAAUGGGCAAACAAACAACACUGAGAUACUUCUCCGGUCAGGCAUCUCCCCAAGAAGAUGCAGCCUCGCAAGGAGCUAGUGAACUGUUUUAAAAGGGUUCCAGACUACAUACAUUUCUGCCAGCCUCUCUUUGGUCUUCAUCUUCUGCAGGGUGCUCUUCAGGGCUUAUUCAGUCGACUCAUGAGGGAUUUCCCUGCUGCCAAAUUAAACCCCACACACACAAAGUCUUACUACAUGGCCUCUUUCCAUAGGGGUGAAGUACGUAUAUCUCCACAACUGCCUUUCCCAGGGUCCUCUGGGUGCACUGUGGGGUAAUGGGUAAACUGUCUGGGCUGUUUAAGCUCAGUGUUACAGGCCACGCUUAGCCAGGGGGGGGUGAGAGUUUGCCAGCAACACUGUCGCUGUGAAAUUCUGCAGCUAAUAAAAACGCGGCUAACAAGCUGCUAGGCUUCAUCCUCAUCGCUGCCGCUAUCCAGGAUCUUUAUCCUCGCGGAUGGAACCUGUCCGAGCAGAUGAAGUCACUUCAGACAAACACAGACUUGAGAGAGAGAGAGAGAGCAAGAGAGAGAGAGAAAGAGGGAGAGAGACUUGCAAAAAAAGCCUCGGGCAGUGCAAAAGCCAUGUCGUGAACCUUACCCUUCAAUGACCAUACCCUUCAUUCUUCUGUCAUUAUCUUUUUUUGUCGGAAUGAGAAAAAAAAAAACGUCCCUGCUAAGCCAUUUAAUUGAAGUCUUGGUCCUGGAUUAUUUCUACCACGUCUGUUCACUGUCUGUGGUAGGCACGUAACCUUUGACCCCGAAAGGGGGGAUUCCUGCUCGGUUGAAAGCCCUGCCAUCUUAAAGGUCCAGACAGAGGCUUUGCUGAAGGGGAUAGUGGGGGAU
ensembl:lncRNA